rnacentral:rRNA from 1 species
UCCUACGGGAGGCAGCAGUGAGGAAUAUUGGUCAAUGGGCGAGAGCCUGAACCAGCCAAGUAGCGUGCAGGACGACGGCCCUAUGGGUUGUAAACUGCUUUUAUAUGGGGAUAAAGUGAGCUACGUGUAGUUUAUUGCAGGUACCAUAUGAAUAAGGACCGGCUAAUUCCGUGC